AUGCACCUCAGAUAUCUCAUCCUCACGGCCUUCCUGGGGCAACUGUUGGGCACCACGGGGCAGAUCACAGUCACCCAGCAAGAAGGACAAGUCACAGUGAAGCACAGAGACACCUUCCAGACCAACUGCAUGUACCAGGUCUCUGGUUUUGAUGCCUUGCUCUGGUACCAGCAGAGGAAAGGCCAAGCUCCCCAGCUGCUCUCGUAUCAGGCAGCAGCUGGCCCCAGGCAGAGCGGCCGUCUCACCACGUUGCUGAACACCACAGGGAAAUACAGCGUCCUGCAGCUGGAGGAAGUCGAGGUCUCUGACAGUGCCCUGUACCUCUGUGCUGUGCCAGACACCCUGGUGCAGGGAGGUUCCUUGGCUGGGGGAUAG